rnacentral:lncRNA from 1 species
CCCACACAAAGGUAAUGUGUUUUGAACACAUAACAGUAAAAUAUUUACUGUAGAAAUUUAAAUUUUAAAUUUAAAUGCAUGCUAUGUAUAUAUCAUAUUUAGAUCCUUGUAUAGGGUUUAUAUAUAUUAAUUAAUUAGAUUAAUUAAUAAUUUUUACUGUAAAAUAGUGAUUUUGAAAAAAAUUUAAAAUUAUCAUUUUACCUCUGCACUAA